rnacentral:lncRNA from 1 species
ACCUACGCUUUCAGCCUUCCCAGUUCCACAGGGGUGUCACUCUUUUCUGAACUUCUGCAGCACAACCUCCAUCACAGCAGUUACUAUCACAGACUCUAUUAUCUCUUGCCAGACUCUUUGAACAGAUGUCUGUGCAAUCUCAUCUUGACCUCUUUCUCCCUUACAGGGUAGAUCUUUCUAGCUCACAACAUGGGAUGAUUUCCACUCCCUACUGAGGGAAAUUAAAACCUCCUUGAAUGUUAGCCUUAUAACACAACCCUCCAGGUAUUCCUACUCAUUCUCAAUUACCCACUAAUUGCUUGCAUGUCAUAGGCAGCUUCUGAAUCUACUUCUGACUUCAAUGUCAAGGCCUUUCCUAAUCCCCUCCCAUGUCAUAAGAAACCUUUCUCUUUGUUCCUCAAAUAGUUAACUACUGAGUAAAUUAUAUUAUAAAUUAAUGGAAUACAGGAACGGAAUUUAGUCUUGUCUUUACUUUUCCCCUCCCCUCCACCCCAGAGCAAGUACUCAGUAAAUGUUUGUGGAAUUAAACUGAAUUUUAGCAGACCGAGUUAAUCUUGGAUAAGGAAGAUAAGGUAAAUUCUAGGGUCACAGGUAAAAUUUCCAAAGAAUCAUGUUUCUUCUAUUAUUUUUUUUUUAUUGUUUUGCUUUUUGGGGCUGCACCUGCAGCAUAUGGAAGUUCCCAGGCUAGGGGUCGAAUAGGAGCUACAGCUGCCGGCCUACACCACAGCAAUGCGGGAUCCAAGCCUCGUCUGUGACCUACACCACAGCUCACAGCAACGCCAGAUCCCCGACCCACUGUGCAAGGCUGGGGAUUAAACCUGAAACCUUAUGGAUACCAGUCAGGUUUGUUUCCACUGCACCACAACAGGGAACUCCUUUCUUUAAGACAUAUGAAUUAUAACAUCAACCAAUCAUUCAACAGUAGCUCUGGGGAAGGGGUGAAGAACUCCUUCAAUAUAAAAUGUAUACAGCUAUCCAAGCUAAAAGCAAUCUCAGGGGCUAGAGAUGCCAUUUGCUUCCUACUUCUGGAUCUACCUCUCCCCCCGGCAAGAAAAUACACUUAUGCUACUUCUCCAAUAUUUAGUUCUACUAUAUUACAAGUUCUACUCUAAUUUCUUUUUUCCACAUAUCUGUCUCACUCUUCCAGGUAACUUGAUCAGCAUUCUCUACAACCUGGCAGUCUUUUUCUAAUCUAAGUUCAAAGGCGUAAUACCAACCUUAAACUACUUAUAAUGUGGUAAAAACAAUUUCAUAAUGGCAUCUCUAGACAGACAUAAGACAGAAAAUGACCUCCACCACCAGCUGUAUCAUUUUCCAAACCAGUUCAUAUAAACCUACUUAACAGCUCUGCAUAAUAAAAAAGCAACCUUGUUCUGGUUAAACA